rnacentral:rRNA from 1 species
UACGGAGGGUGCAAGCAUUAAUCGGAAUUAUUGGGCGUAAAGGGCGCGUAGGCGGAUUUGUAAGUCAGAUGUGAAAUUCCGAAGCUCAACUUCGGAGCUGCAUUUGAAACUGCGAGUCUAGAGGGAUGGCGGAGAAAAUGGAAUUCCACGUGUAGCGGUGAAAUGCGUAGAUAUGUGGAAGAACACCAGUGGCGAAAGCGGUUUUCUAGCUUUUACCUGACGCUGAGGCGCGAGAGCGUGGGGAUCAAACAGG